rnacentral:rRNA from 1 species
AACGAACGCUGGCGGCAGGCUUAACACAUGCAAGUCGAACGCCCCGCAAGGGGAGUGGCAGACGGGUGAGUAACGCGUGGGAAUCUACCCAUCCCUACGGAACAACUCCGGGAAACUGGAGCUACUACCGGAUAAGCCCUUAGGGGGAGAGAUUUAUCGGGGAUGGAUGAGCCCGCGUUGGAUUAGCUAGUUGGUGGGGUAAAGGCCUACCAAGGCGACGAUCCAUAGCUGGUCUGAGAGGAUGAUCAGCCACAUUGGGACUGAGACACGGCCCAAACUCCUACGGGAGGCAGCAGUGGGGAAUAUUGGACAAUGGGCGCAAGCCUGAUCCAGCCAUGCCGCGUGAGUGAUGAAGGCCUUAGGGUUGUAAAGCUCUUUCACCGAUGAAGAUAAUGACGGUAGUCGGAGAAGAAGCCCCGGCUAACUUCGUGCCAGCCGCCGCUGUAAUAC